GAUGAACGCUGGCGGCGUGCCUAAUACAUGCAAGUCGAGCGAAUGGAUUAAGAGCUUGCUCUUAUGAAGUUAGCGGCGGACGGGUGAGUAACACGUGGGUAACCUGCCCAUAAGACUGGGAUAACUCCGGGAAACCGGGGCUAAUACCGGAUAACAUUUUGAACCGCAUGGUUCGAAAUUGAAAGGCGGCUUCGGCUGGCACUUAUGGAUGGACCCGCGUCGCAUUAGCUAGUUGGUGAGGUAACGGCUCACCAAGGCAACGAUGCGUAGCCGACCUGAGAGGGGGAUCGGCCACACUGGGACUGAGACACGGCACAGACUCCGAAGGGAGGCAGCAGUAGGGAAUCUUCCGCAAUGGACGAAAGUCUGACGGAGCAACGCCGCGUGAGUGAUGAAGGCUUUCGGGUCGUAAAACUCUGUUGUUAGGGAAGAACAAGUGCUAGUUGAAUAAGCUGGCACCUUGACGGUACCUAACCAGAAAGCAACGGCUAACUACGUGCCAGCCGCCGCUGUAA
rnacentral:rRNA from 1 species